GGGAACUUUCAUACACACAUGGUGGGAGUGCCCUCGGGUAGCCACGGUGUGGCACCAUAUAGCGCAAUUAGCAUCACAGGCAUUACACACCACUAUCCCGAUGGACCCAUGGUUAUGGCUCCUUUCCAGGCCCCUCCGAGACACCCCAAGGGCACACAACAAACUGAUAGCCAAACUGGCACUAGCCACUAGGCGAGCAAUCGCGGAGAAAU